rnacentral:rRNA from 1 species
GAUGAACGCUAGCUACAGGCUUAACACAUGCAAGUCGAGGGGCAGCACUAGGUAGCAAUACUGAGGUGGCGACCGACGCACGGGUGCGUAACGCGUAUCCAACCUUCCCGUUACUCUUGGAUAGCCUUCCGAAAGGGAGAUUAAUACAGGAUGGUGUUUGAAUUCCGCAUGUUAUUCAAACUAAAGAUUUAUCGGUAACGGAUGGGGAUGCGUGACAUUAGGUAGAUGGCGGGGUAACGGCCCACCAUGCCUACGAUGUCUAGGGGUUCUGAGAGGAAGGUCCCCCACACUGGAACUGAGACACGGUCCAGACUCCUACGGGAGGCAGCAGUGAGGAAUAUUGGUCAAUGGUCUGACGACUGAACCAGCCAUGCCGCGUGAAGGUGACGGCCCUAUGGGUCUUAAACUUCUUUUGUAAGGGAGCAAUAAGCUUUACGUGUAGAGUGAUGAGAGUACCUUACGAAUAAGCAUCGGCUAACUCCGUG